rfam:Clostridium sp. CAG:242 genomic scaffold, scf270
UGAAACGAUAGAGGCGCACCUUUCAUCAGUAGCACAGGAUAAGGCUGCCAAAGCUGUUUGAGUCCUUUGCCAAAGGGAACGGUGCCGAAGGGAGCAUUUCGGCGGAUGCUGCCCUGGGUGUGUCCUGAAUAAGGGCACAACUGUCACCAUCCUUUGAAAAGGUGGUGAAGCGCUAUCCGGUUU